GUUGUAUAGUCAAGUAAUUAAGUGCAUGUGGUGGAUGCCUUGGCAGUCAGAGGCGAUGAAAGACGUGAUAGCCUGCGAAAAGCUCCGGGGAGGCGGCAAAUAUCCUUUGAUCCGGAGAUGUCUGAAUGGGGGAACCCACCUACUUUAAGGUAGGUAUUGCAACAUGAAUACAUAGUGUUGCAAGGCGAACGAGGGGAAGUGAAACAUCUCAGUACCCUUAGGAAAAGAAAUCAAUUGAGAUUCCCUCAGUAGCGGCGAGCGAACGGGGAUCAGCCCAUUAAGUUAUGUGUGUUUUAGUGGAACGCUCUGGGAAGUGCGAACGUAGAGGGUGAUAUUCCCGUACACGAAAGGGCACACAUAAUGAUGACGAGUAGGGCGAGGCACGUGAAACCUUGUCUGAAUAUGGGGGGACCAUCCUCCAAGGCUAAAUACUCCUGACUGACCGAUAGUGAACCAGUACCGUGAGGGAAAGGCGAAAAGAACCCCUGUGAGGGGAGUGAAAUAGAUCCUGAAACCGCAUGCAUACAAGCAGUGGGAGCACCUUCGUGGUGUGACUGCGUACCUUUUGUAUAAUGGGUCAGCGACUUAUAUUCAGUAGCAAGGUUAACCGUAUAGGGGAGCCGUAGAGAAAUCGAGUCUUAAUAGGGCGUUUAGUUGCUGGGUAUAGACCCGAAACCAGGCGAUCUAUCCAUGAGCAGGUUGAAGGUUGGGUAACACUAACUGGAGGACCGAACCCACUGUCGUUGAAAAGCCAGGGGAUGACUUGUGGAUAGGGGUGAAAGGCUAAUCAAGCCUGGUGAUAGCUGGUUCUCCCCGAAAGCUAUUUAGGUAGCGCCUCGGACGAAUACCAUAGGGGGUAGAGCACUGUUUCGGCUAGGGGGUCAUCCCGACUUACCAAACCGAUGCAAACUCCGAAUACCUAUGAGU
rnacentral:rRNA from 1 species